CUCUACUCGGACAUCUAAACUUCAGUUAAGCUCUAUGUUUAAGUGGGAUGGAUCUUCAAUUUGCCUACCUAAGGGUAAGAUGUCUCUAAACGGCAUGCAAAAUAAUUUGGGGGUUCAGCUUACAAGAUCCUCCUCAAUUAAAGUGUUGAUGUCUUGUUUGAAACACAGGCUGGCCGGCCACACACACCUGCUGCUGCACUCCAUGGCCACAGGCAGGUCUUGGCAAUUCACCUGCUCUCCGCAAUCAAACUGAGUGCUAUGGAAAGCCCAAAUCCCACCGGGCACAGUAGCUCACACCUAUAAUCCCAGCACUUCAGGAAGCUGAGGUGGGUGGAUCACCUGAGGUUGGGAGUUAAAGACCAGCCUGAUCAACAUGGAGAAAUUCCAUCCCUACUAAAAAUACAAAAUUAGUUGGGCAUGGUGGCACAUGCCUGUAAUCUCAGCUACUCGGGAGGCUGAGGCAGGAGAAUCACUUGAACUUGGGAGGCAGAGGGCAGAGGUUGCAGUGAGCCAAGAUCACACCAUUGCACUCCAGCCUGGGCAAUCAGAAUGCAACUCCUUGAAAAAAAGAAAGAAAGAGAGAGAGAGAGAGGGAGGGAGGGAGGGAGGGAGAGAGAGAGGGAGGGAGGGAGGAAGGAAUGAAGGAAGGAAGGAAGGAAGGCAGGAAGGAAGGAAGGAAGAAGAAAGUCCAAAUCCCAAGAAACACCUGAUGUAUCUGCUACCUACACCCUGUCUCCCUUCAUCCCCCACACUCACAGCUGUUUAGCAGAGGAAUCCCAGUGACACCCCGGGUCCCAGAGAAAAGCCUGCCCUGCCUUCCAGUUCCAGUGCAUGAGGCAUGAAGCCGACUGUUCAGGAAGUCAAGACUUAUUUGUGAAACGAAAGGCAGUGGACCCCUGUGUUGCUGCUGGUGGGGAGCCCAGUAGGUGGGAUGCUAGUCCAGCCCCUUUGGCAGUGGCGGAUUCUCCAGAUGGACUUAGUCACCUGAUGCUUGGCAAGACUCGGCCCCAGCUACCCCAGUGGGAGGGGGUUGUGGACAAUGGAGACACUCAGAAUGAUUGACCAAAAUGGUUUUGAAACCUCUAGACCAAGGACCAUUAAUCUGAAAAUGGCUCUGACUCUAUUUGAUUUCAAUAGAAAGAAACGGCUCCUUUUGAAAUGGAUAGUGACAGCCAAGCUCAGAGAUAACAGACUGGCAAUGACAAGACUCUACUUUUUAAAACAAACAACAGAAAACCUUCCCUAGCUGUGUUUGGACAGUUUCACUCUGUUGAUUUUUAAACCAUCAUGAGAGUUGAUCACAUUCACUUCCCCACCUGCCCUCCCUCCAUUGGCGCCCAGACCUGCCACCCAACUUCCUGGAAGGUCAGAGGGAUCCCGACCAGGAGAGAGGAUACUGGAGCAUGGGGGAAAGCAGGGAGAGGGUGCACUGGGUGCAGAGAAACCAGGGGGACCCGAAGGGGACACAAGCUAGGCAGUCCCCACAGGCCCUGCGCCCUUCACCCCUUCCACAUGCUAGGGAAAGAAACCAUUGUGUGAACAGAGGCAAUACUGUAUGAAGGGAGGAAAGGCGACGAAAAAGAAUUUUACAUGGACCUUAGAGAGGAAAGGAGGAAAGGAAUCUGGUGUGUGUAUGUGUAUGUGUGUGUGUGUGUGUGUUCGUGUACAUGCACAGGUACACGUGUUUUAGCCCUAGACACGUGGCCUAUCAGAAGGACAUGAGACAAGGUCAGGAAUGAACUCCCCUUUGAAUCACCCUUAAGCAGGCAGACGAAUUAGGACUGAUUUAUGAAUGUAUUUCCACAAUUUACUUGAAAAUUUGUAAUGUCUGUGCAGCCUGGCAAGAAAAAAAAAAGGCGAGGCACUGUGAAGGAAUGCUUCUGCUCCACUUCAUUGUAAAAUUAUCCCAUGCUACCUGCUCUAAUCCCCUGAAAACAAAUUAAAUCCUCACUAAGCUGACUUUAAAUCAAUAGUUUCAUUUAAGAAUAGUGUGACUUAAUAAAAAUAAAAAACUAACUGGUCCAGCCAAUUUAAGAGGGAAAUAAAUCAUUGCCCAAAGAAAAAUAGCAGAUUUGACUUGUAUAUGGGCCCUGGCUCUGUUUAGAAGGGAGAGGUGGUGUCUAAAUUAACUCUGGCUGGGGAAGAAGCUCAUAGACCCAUUCAGAAACUCACUUUACCAUGCACAUCCCAGGAAUAAGGAGGCCAGCCACCCCCAAAAUGGGAAACAGCAUCUCAGUCUAUAUUUUGAAAAAUGUAACCACUAAAAAAUAGAAGAUGGCAUCCUCGGAAGCAUCCUGGCAACCCUGAGACUGCAGCGCUCACAUGUGAAGACCAAGAAACCCAUGUCUGGUCAUGGCAGAAGCCACAAGGUUCCUCUUGAAGAUGCACUGGUUAAGGCAACAGUGUCCUCAACAAGCCGGGACAAAGGCAAAAUUAGGUGUGCUGGAUAAACAUCAGUAAUUAUAAUAGGUGCACAAUCUAUGUGCAAUUAUUCUUUGGAAUAAAUCUAAGUGUGGGGUAGACAUAUUUUUGGCAGUAUACAAAGGCCUGACUACCAUUUUAUGAAUAAAGAAAGUCAUCUAGAACAAAAGAGUAAGACUCGACACAAUAGGGCAAGUAGUUACAGAGAAAAGUCUGAAAUCCCAUAAUUCUAAACUAGCACUUUAUCCCAUUUAGCAGAGUACUUCUUUACUAAUCAUAUAAAUUAGAAAAAUGCUUAGGACCCGACGCUUGCUUACUUAAUUCAUUAUGUAUUGGGGAUAUAUAAACAUUAAAGUGAGUGCCUUCAAAACACGACACAUCAAUAUUAUCAGUGUCACUAUUGCCACUAACAUAUUUUAAACAUUUAAUAAUUAUACAACGUCAAGUCAGUUACUUACUGACGUUCAUUGCAAUCGAGCACUUUUAUUUAUCAUUUUGACAAUAACAAAUAAUAAAACAUAUUCCUUCUAGUAAAAGAUUUAAGCCUAAAGAAGCCAGGCAAGACCAUUUAGUUCCUUACCAUAGUCCCUCUCUCAGAGACUACAUUAAUUUUCAUUUGUUGGCCAGAAAAAUACCUGGCCAAAUACCUAGAGAAAUCAGUGUAUGAAGAUGGCACAGUUUGGUGGAAACACUCUGGCUUAGACUCAGGCUCUGGAGGCUCAAGUCAUGCCCCCACAUUUAGAAUCCUGUAUUGUUUACCUAGUUAUUUGACAUUCUGGCCUUAGUUUUGUCAUCUGUAAGAUGGAGGCAAUAAUACCUGCACAGUUUAUGGAGUUAUUAGGUGGCCCCAAGCAGGCGAUGGAGGGUACUUUGCAAGGUGAUACACAAAAGUGAGAAAUGACCGGGCCUCCCGUCUGUCCAAGGACAAGCAUGGUAAUUAAUUCUAACUUAGAAAACACUGGCUUCCUAUACAUUCUCCCAAUGUAACCAUUCCAUGGAUGAUGGCUCCAGGUAGGACCCUUGCAAAAUGUGGUAACUAAAGAGUUUCUUAUUGUAGAGCUAAGUAAGGGACAGGCACAGCUAUGCCCAGUUUAUGUCAAGCCCAUGGUUCAGAACGUUGGGUGGCGGGCACAGCUAUGCCCACUUCAAUGUUGGGUGGUGGUAGCAAGGCAUCUGGAAGAAAUUAUUCCAAACUUGGCUGAACCUGAGCAGUUGGUGAGAUGAAUUAAUGGCUAUUUCAUGGUGUCAGUCUUGGUCCUGCUGCAAGCAAGUGACCUGACAACUACAAACUAACAACGUAUUUGUUUCUAUUUGUAGUAAAUUAGGAGUGUUUUCCUUUUCUGGAAGGUCAACCCGUUGUUUUCAAUACCCACUCAAGUGAAAACUUUCACUACUAUGAAGCAAUUCCACAGUGGCCGCUCCUUGGAAAGCAGUUUAAAAUCAUUUUGUGAAUGACUUCUCUCACUUUCUCUGGGAGGGAGGCGGGCAUUUUAUAAAUGAAAACGCUAACCAUGAGCCAGAGGCCUGGCCAGACUACUGGUAAACGUGAUCGCACAACCAAAGAACAGCUCACCACCCCUUACUGCGAUUCCCAAACUUGCAGCUUCCGGCAGGGUCUGCUGUGUGCACGGAGCACCCGUCAGCCUGGAGCAGACCUGAGACGCUGGCACAAGAACUGUCAUCUGGAGAAGCGUCACCUCCUGUCCGGCUGAGGUUCCACGGGGCUUCUGCCAGAGACCUGAAUAAAUGUUAUAGAACAGCCCAAUCUCACUGUCCUCCUUUGUCUUCCAGAAGCCCUUGCCCUGUCCUGAGCUUACUGACAUGGCCAAAAGACUGAAAAUGCUAACAAGACAGGGAGCCCCCCAUCUGCAAAUCCUGUUCUUACCCAUCAAGCUAAGCCAGCACCUGUACUUGUUCCAGGUUGAGCCCAACAGCAGCCUCAUAUCCUAAGGCACAGCUCGCUGAGUUCUGAGCCCUCCCAAGGGAAGGUCUUAACCCUAGCUCAUCCAUUUCCAAAGCUGAGGCCAUGAGCCAAGUGUCCCAGGAUGCUCUCCACUCUGCCCACAGAGCGAGGUCGCUGGUCUCUGAAGCAAGUCCCAGGUUUCCCACACUUCCCCCAUGAGAAGAAUUCUGGGGUGCUUGUUAAACAUCCAGCUCCCCAGGUAUGUACCCUGAAGAUUCUGUUUGAGUUGGUCUUGAGUAGGACACAGGAACCGGUGUGUUUAAUAGGCACCCAGGGGAUAACAAUCAAAUGUGACUCAAAGCCAGCGCGGUAACCUUGGCUCAGAAACAAGCAAAUCUGGCCAGGCGCAGUAGCUCACACCUGUAAUCCCAGCACUUUGGGGGACUGAGGUGGGCGGAUUACUUGAGGUCAGGAGUUCG
rnacentral:lncRNA from 10 species